AUACGGAGGGUGCAAGCGUUAAUCGGAAUUACUGGGCGUAAAGCGUACGUAGGCGGUUCGUUAAGUUAGAUGUGAAGGCCCCGGGCUUAACCUGGGAACUGCAUUUAAAACUGGCGGACUAGAGUUGAGUAGAGGGGAGUGGAAUUUCAGGUGUAGCGGUGAAAUGCGUAGAGAUCUGAAGGAACACCAGUGGCGAAGGCGACUCCCUGGACUCGAACUGACGCUGAGGUACGAAAGCGUGGGUAGCAAACGGGAUUAGAUACCCCGGUAGUCC
rnacentral:rRNA from 1 species